rnacentral:lncRNA from 1 species
CUUUUGGUGAAUCUACAUGCAGUAUCAAUAUGCAAUGCAUUUGUUAUGCGCAGUGGAUUGCAUAUUACGUCGGCAGGUCGGUUCACCGAGUUAAAUGACCUCAUAUCAUGAACACACUACUACAACAAGCUGCACUUUCCGCAGGAAUAUUGCGCAAUAAAGUUUAUAAAAGUGUGCAGGUUGCGUUACGUAAUCAUUGUGCAGUUGGUAUCAUUUGACGUUUUGUAAACAGAAAACGAUUUUCAUUUGUAACAAUCGGACAUUAUUAAGUUGAAUGUACACACAAUAUGAAUGUAAGUGGUUUUACACUUCGGAAAUGUGAUAUUUCUAGAAAAAUUUAAGGGAUUAGAUGAUAUAUAUCAAAAAAAAUUGCAAGGGAACUGUUUCUUUGAACAUUUAAUGUGGAUUAUUUUCUUUCGCACUUUCUUAAAACUCGUGUGUUACAGAUGUGUUGCAAGCAAAGUGAUGUCACCACUUUUGGAAUUUAACUUUAACAAAAUGAAUUCAACAAUAUUACAAUCAGGAUAUUUCUACCUGGAUCUAAUAUUUUUUUAUGCAAAGUGGGUUUUUAACUGAAGGAUCGUACAGAAUACCAGGCUCAAUGUAACAGACGCGUACAGAUGGUGAUCUUUUUAUCUUUCUACAUAAAUCAUUUCUUUACAAUACAGUUGAUUAAAUAAUAGUCUCACCUGUUAAGCUUGACCACCAGAGUAUGACAUUAUUGAUCCGUUAAGCGGUCAUUUCAGGCCACGGACAGAGCGAUCUGACCUCACAUGCCCCCGCAUCCUUACAAAUCGACCGCCAAUAUCUCCCGCCAUCAUCUGAAGGAUUUGCUGAUUGAUCAGUUAGUGAUGUCUUUCAAAAUUGCAAAGUAUAUCCAUUUUCACGCCAAAUGUACAAAUUUCAUACUACAGAAUGGCUUUGACACAUAAUCGAGUUCCUAAAGUUCCGUAUUAUACUAUAGAAAGAUGGUUACUUUAAAUGACCUUAACUUUGAAUUCCAGACAGGUUUCAAAUUCUCCUAACUGUAUCGUUUGGAAUACACUUGUAGGCGGGCGUUAUCAAUAUAAACGUCUAAUUCAUUGGUUAACUUCCAAUGAAAUCAGCCAGGGGGAAAUUUACCAUUAUUUUCAUUGGUUUAAAAAUCAAUACAUUGCUUAUUGCUUAGGAAGACAUCUUUAUGAACCCUAACAAAAUAUUACGCUAAGAACGCAAAAAAUCCACUAACUCGAAUAAGUUAAUUUUGCAAUUAUCAAAUAUGAGAUGAAUAUAGAUCAAUAUAUAAUACAAAAUUUUUAAAACAGUCAAUUAUUAUUUUUACGUCACUACAUUUAAAUAAAUCGGAAAUAUAUUAUUUAUUGUUGCAAGGCGGAAGACAUGAUUUUUGGCGGACUUCUUAUAACGACUUUCAUGAACAAGACUAAUACAACAUAGCACUUUUUUAAGAUCUUUUUACAUUCAUGCAUCUCUAUAAAGAUUGCCGAACAAAAUAUAUUAAAAUCAUGGCGAAGAAUACUCAAAGCCUUUUUCCGAUUAUAACUAAAUUAAAUCUGCAGUCGAGCAAUAAUUGUUCUGAUAUAUUGUCGAACUAUAUUAAUGCAAACCACCACGGAAAAGACAGACACAUUAUGCGCGAUCUCUAUCUGUCAGCCAUUGACAUAGUCUGGAAAACCCAAUAUUUCCCAUAAACAUGUCUGCCUAAUAAAUAUCAGACUUGAUCAAUCUGCAAACUCAAACUUGUUUUCUAUUUAGUUGCACUGAUGAAUAUGCGAUACAAAAAUUUAAGUUUAACUAACAGGCGCUUUGGACAUGUCCUCUCCCCCUUUAUUAUAUAUUUUCAAUAAGUUUUCAAUUUCUUUAAUAAUUAUUGAAAGUAGUUCACGUUAUAUGUGCUGUCAUUUUAUAGUAGAAAGACAUGACAUAUACACUGCUUCCAAUGUUUAAUUGUUUUGAUAUGAUGAAGAACACUUUGAAGCAAGCAAAGGAAACAGGAAAUGCCUUUAAAAAAUAAAUUAUACUUCGUGUAAAAAAAAAUAAUAAGACAAAGUCCUUGCUCUGGACCGCUUGUUGUUCAACUGUCCUUAUUUUUAACAAAUAUAUAUCAUAAUAAAAGUUGUACAUUAUUAUUUUACGGUUUGUUGUUAUUAUCAUUCCCAUUUUAAUUAUUAUUUUCAUUUCCAAAUAAUUAAUAUUAUUUUUAUCUAUUUAUUGUGAUUAUUUAUCAAUUUAGUAAUGAUUUAAAUUCAUUUUUUUUUUUUUGUAAAAAUUGGGAUCACAACGCUGCAUUUUCGAUUUAUGUAUACAAAGUUUUGGAAUAUAGAAUCAAUGCGAUCAUAGUAGACCUGAACUAUCAUCAUAUGUCAAUAAUUUUAAACCUCAUGUUCCUUUGGUAGCACCAUAUGUCUACUGUGGUACAGUUACAUAUGUUCAUAUAUUACAGCAACGUGUAUGUUUAUCAGUGUCCUUGUAUCUGCUUAGCUGCUGUAGAUAUAAGAGUUAACAAAUGUAAAAGCAUAUUUACGAAGCUUUAUAUAUAAUCCUUCGACUUUGUUUAACUUUCGUUUUGACCCCCAAAAUAUUUAAAAACUUAAAUAAAGGAAACCUAAAAGACUUGUUUGUGCAUUAUAUGAAUGCGCAUUCAUAUAAUGCACCAUGCACACAUUUAUGAUUGAGGUGUUGCACUUUCGAAUCACAGAAUUAGUUUUGCAACAUAUGUAGAGUUUUUUUCUACUAAUCUAUUUGUUGAUUUUACAAUCCUAACUUUGUUAUCCAUAAAUUAAAAACAUGUAUGAAUUUAGAUUUUAUGUAGGACGUACAUAAGAUAUCCUGUUCACCUUUGACACACUUUACUUUGACUAUUUUAGGUUCUAAUUAAUUUGUCUAAAUCUUUGUGUAUAUAUACUAUACACCUUUAUCUUAUUCUUGUUUUCAUUAAUUUAUGUCGUUUGAAAGCGUUACACACAAGAGUUUAUUGGUUUUUUUUACUUGCAUUUAAUUGUAUUCAAUGCAUAUAUGAAGAAAUAAAGCUGUAAAUGGUUCACAAUAGCAAAAACAAUCGACACAAAUAGUUGUCUAUACGAUCUCUAAUGAUAUCAACAAUAAGACAAGUGUCUAAAUAACACGUCAAGCUCUUAGUGCCCCUGUCAAAUCAUAUAUAUAUACAUACAUCAAUUAUAAAUUAAAAAUAGAAUAUCAAAAAUAUGCCGCAUGAAUACAAACUCUUAAAGGACAGAAAGGUAUGAGUUUAUUGUCUGCUCAUCGUUGAAAUCCUUGCGGUUACCAAUAGUUGUCUCAAUGGCAAGCAUUAUACCAUAAGCAUACUAUAUCCCUAUUUUUUAUAUGACAGGCAGAUUUCUGACCGUUGACAGGUUUAAUACCAUGCAGCUUGCUGCAAGGUUAAGAUCAUCCUUUGAGAGUACUCGAUCCUCCUUUGCAUGUAUAUUUGGCAUGCAUAUCAAACGUUUUCCCCUUUAAAUUAUUUUUAACAACUUGAAAUCGUCUAUAGUAAUAUCAUGCGACAAUAUAUCAAAACAAAUAUAGCUCGACUGCCGAUUUUAUUUUGUCAAUUUGUGAUUUUUUUCAUCAUGAUGUUAACACGGUUAAUGUCCAUUAAAAUUAACUUUUUCAUUAGAUUGAUGAAUUUUUAUAACAUGAAAUAUAUAAAUUAUAGAUGUACAUGUAAUAUAUUUCUACACAAAAUAUAUCACAGUGAAUUGUUAUUCUUGCCGUUUCGGUCAUGGACAGUUAUCUUUGACAAAAGUAAACAUUUUUGCAAAAAAUCUAUAUUUUAUUGAUAGAAAUAAAAGAACAUUUUUUUUCAAAUAAAGCUACACAAAAAGCGUUCAUAAUUUUUCCCUGUUAAUCAUUGUUCAUGACUCUGCACACUGCUCUUGUUCACCACACAUAAGAGUGUAUAAUGGCGUUUAUAUAGUAGAUAUUAAUUUAGAAAAAUUAAAAAAAAAAAAAAAAAAAAUGAGAACAAAGGCGGCAUAUAGAUUAAAGAAUAAUUGGGUGCUAAAUUAUUGAAAUAAGUAAUUGGGCGUAAAGAAUAAAGAAUGUUAAAAGAAUGUAGAAAUUGUUGUCCAAAAAUACAAAUGAGUACAAAAUGAAUACCAAACUUUCCACCCCAUAUAUAACCGUUUUAAAACUUUUGGUUUUUGUUCUGUUGUUGCUUUAUCAACCGAAAACUCCAUUGAUUCAACUUCGACCUAUCAUGUGAGAAAGAUGGUCUUCAUUAUACUGGUCUAGGUCUAUUCAAAUCAGCAAGUUAAUUUGUAAAUUUUUACAGAAGAUAUGUUCACUUCCUUUCACUACCCUUAGAGAACCUAAAUAUACUGAUUAUACGCCAAGGUAUCUUUACAUUGUCCCUUCUCCCUUCUCCCUGCAGACUAAAGAUACUGAUUAUACGCCAAGGUAUCUUUACACUGUCCCUUCUCCCUGCAGACUAAAUAUACUGAUUAUACGCCAAGGUAUCUUUACAUUGUCUCCCCGCAGACUAAUCCUUUACAAAUAUUGUUCUCAACCCCUAUUGUUUUCUUUGUAUAAUCUUCGUUAAGUAAAUCACUCUUCAUACAAACAGUUAGAAUCUACCAAGUACUUACACUUAACCUAAAAACCGCGUAAUAUAACGACUCUUUUCGUUAUCUCAUAUAAGAUACUCUUUAAAAGUUUUGUAUCUGUACACGUUUUACAGAAACCGCAAGUGUGUACAUAACCUCAAAGUCUGUCAACCACCCUGCAAUGAUCCCGUAGUAGUGUGUUUCAAUAGUUUAAACAGAAAGUAUAUGGGUAGAUCCUAUAUAUGUUGGGUCAAGCUUAAGUUAAAAUAUGUGUUUACUGCUUCUCCACAAAGCAUGCACUCGGCAUUUAGAAUUUGAAACACUGAAAACUGAUCGACUUAAAGCCACAACAAUUUGUCUGUUUGAGUAAAAUAUCUAUUUGUAUUUUUUAUCUUUGUAAGGCAUCAUAUAAAGAAUCCAACAUUGUUGUUUUUUUGCAAUGCAGAGUUUAUAUAUUCGAACUACACAGUGCCUGUGAAAAAAGGCGGAGUGCGACUUAUAAAAAGUAUCUAAAGUCCGUCUGAGUUAUAUACAUCUUUAAAAACUAAUAACUUAAAGUUUUUGGUUGCUUUAUUGUAAGCAAUCUUUGCUUUUUUUCUGUGCCAAUUAUAAGAAAAAAACACCAUAUAAAUCUCUUUUUUGAAGACCCAAAGAACUCGAACACAUUUUUGUCUUAAAGCUCUAUCUACUAAUACGUGUUUGGUGUAUGUUUCUGAAAAUUCCGUAAGAUAAAUCCAGAAUGAAAUUAACAAUUUCUGUAUUUUUUGCACUUUGAUAUACUCUCUUUUUUUUGGGAAUUUGCAAGUUUAUAUGUACUGUUUUCUCUGGUGUCAAAAUGUCUAUGACAACGUGUCUAAUUAUAUACAUCUGUUUUUAAAGGCUUCGAUCCGAUGUGUCUGCUUUAAACCUGAUUAAAAAAUGUCGGUGUUCCUUGCUAAUAUAUGCCUUUGUCGAAUAUUCGAAUGUUUUUCAUUUUCACUUCCAUUCUCUUCUUGACGUUUACUUCUAUUUUUCUGUAUUGCUGUUCCAAUAUUUGAUUGAUAACACUUGUGAUAUUUUUAAAACAAGUUUUCGAUCAAACUGUUGGCGAGACUAAUCGAAUUUAUGGCAUAGUGCCUUCUGUAACGUCAGGCUUUUUUUAGAUGACGUAUACGACGCUGUACAGUUGCAAUAUAUUUAUUGAUAAGUGCUGGCAUCUUCAACGGGACUUCAACGGGAUGAUUAUGUUAGAUUCCUACCACUUUUGCAUUCAUAAUAACAGUCUAACAGACACUCUUAUUAUCUUUAUGUUUUCUCGGUAAGACUUUCUUUUAAUGUCUAUACUAAAAGGGAUUUGGAAGUUUGUAGAUUUUUUUAUAUUGUAAAUUAUUUCCCAAUGUAUCUACCAUGCAACAUCAGACGUAGAACAUUGCAUCUCUUAUUCAACUAUUUUAAUAGUGAAUCAAAAGAAAUAUUUGCUCAAACCUGAACGCACUUUCGACACUGUUCUAUCUCCUGUAUUUGUCACAUCUUGAAACAAAAUGAUUACACGAGUCCACAUUACUGAUAAAAUGUUAAAUUCAUAAAAAUAUUUAUUUUUUUUCUCUACAUUUCAUGCCUCAAUUGAAGUAAUGAAUAAUGUAAAAAUAUUAGGAAGAUAUAAAAGGGCACAUCCAUCGAAGAAAGACGACAAAUUCGAUGGUCCAAGGCAGAAAAAAGAAAAGACAAAUAACAUGCCACAAUACACUAAACUUCAAACUAAAGACUUAUCAUCACUAACACAGUCAUAAGGUGUACAAUAAGAUGGUUAGCAGUUCCCGAUCAAAAUGAAAUUGCUAGUAAAGAUAUUGUUUAAAUAUCAGCAGAAUUGAAAAAAAACACACUUUUUUCAACUCCAAAAAUUAAACGUUUAAGAUUUAACAAACUUAAUUCAAAAUUUAAGGUUAAAAUCUCCAAUAAGUAUUUGUAUCGACUAUUGCCUAUUGAAUAGUUUGACUAAACUGAAUAACCAACCCUUUCUUAAUGCACCUUGCACUAAUGGAUUUUAGUAUUAGUUCCUCUUCUCGUUGUACAGUUUUCUUUAAGCAUUUUUUAUGCCAACUUUCGGUUUUCUUAAACAUAUGUAGCUUUUUUUUUCAAAAAUCACACCGACCAUUGCUUUCAAAGCUGCCAAACCCAUAUUAAGUCAUUUCUAUACGGCUUCCAUCGUUUACAUUUGUUGUUUUUAUAGUGAUUAAGAUGAUAACAUAAUGUUUACUGCUGUACCCCUAUUUUUGACAUUUUUACCUAUUGUGUCUGUUUGUUUUGUUCACGCAUCGGUAACAAUAUAAUAGAAUUUGAUGCGACUGUCAUACAAGUGAGAGGUUUAGCUAGCUAUAAAACCAGG